UACGGAGGGGGGCUAGCGUUGUUCGGAAUUACUGGGCGUAAAGCGCACGUAGGCGGCUUUGUAAGUUAGAGGUGAAAGCCCGGGGCUCAACUCCGGAAUUGCCUUUAAGACUGCAUCGCUAGAAUUGUGGAGAGGUAAGUGGAAUUCCGAGUGUAGAGGUGAAAUUCGUAGAUAUUCGGAAGAACACCAGUGGCGAAGGCGACUUACUGGACACAUAUUGACGCUGAGGUGGCGAAAAGCGUGGGGAGCAAACAGG
rnacentral:rRNA from 1 species